rnacentral:tRNA from 1 species
GGCGCCAUAGCCAAGUGGUAAGGCAGAAGUCUGCAAAACUUCCACCCCCGGUUCAAAUCCGGGUGGCGCCUCCA